rnacentral:rRNA from 1 species
AUUGAACGCUGGCGGCAUGCUUUACACAUGCAAGUCGAGCGGCAGCGCGGGCUUCGGCCUGGCGGCGAGUGGCGAACGGGUGAGUAAUACAUCGGAACGUGCCCAGUAGUGGGGGAUAGCUCGGCGAAAGCCGGAUUAAUACCGCAUACGACCUGAGGGUGAAAGCGGGGGAUCUUCGGACCUCGCGCUAUUGGAGCGGCCGAUGGCAGAUUAGCUAGUUGGUGGGGUAAAGGCCUACCAAGGCGACGAUCUGUAGCUGGUCUGAGAGGACGACCAGCCACACUGGGACUGAGACACGGCCCAGACUCCUACGGGAGGCAGCAGUGGGGAAUUUUGGACAAUGGGCGAAAGCCUGAUUCAGCAAUGCCGCGUGUGUGAUGAAGGCCUUCGGGUUGUAAAGCACUUUUGGCGGGAACGAAAAGGACUGUGCCAAUACCACGGUUCGAUGACGGUACCCGCAGAAUAAGCACCGGCUAACUACGUG